GGUGAGACCAGGCGACCGGGUCCCAGGGGGAGGAGCUCCGCGCCCCGCCAACUGCCCGGGCCCCGCCCCCGUUUCCUGGGCGACGGCGACGCCGAGCUGCGGGCAGCAUGGCGGCGCCGGGGCAGGAAGAAGACCAAGAUCAGGAUGCCAUAGUUGGAAAGAAGGUUAUUAAUCGGACGUUUCUUUCUCUUUCCCAAAUUACUGCUUUGUCAGAACAAAAUCUAGAAGGAGUUCAAAAAAACCUGGAAGAAUUUCUGAAUUUUAAACAAUUAAAGACAUCUUUGAAAGAAGCUAUUUUGCUAGAUUAUUAUACUGCAGGGUUUUGGUGGGC
rnacentral:lncRNA from 1 species